AGAGAGAGACAUGCGCGCAUAUCAAUAAGCGGAGGAAAAGAAACUAACAAGGAUUCCCCUAGUAACGGCGAGUGAAGCGGGAAGAGCUCAAAUUUGAAAUCUUAAAGGGUUUCCCUUUACGAAUUGUAGUUUAAAGAAGUGUUUUCUGUUGAGGUUUUGGUAAAAGUUCUUUGGAAUAGGACAUCAUAGAGGGUGAGAAUCCCGUAUUUGACCUUUACUUUCAACUUUGUGAUACACUUUCAAAGAGUCGGAUUGUUUGGGAAUGCAGUCCAAAAUGGGUGGUAAAUUUCAUCUAAAGCUAAAUAUUGGCGAGAGACCGAUAGCGAACAAGUACCGUGAGGGAAAGAUGAAAAGAACUUUGAAAAGAGAGUUAAACAGUACGUGAAAUUGUCAAAAGGGAAGCGUUUGACACCAGUGUUGUUUUUCUGAAAAUCAAUUAAAGAACUGUGUAUGCUAAGUUGUUUAGACUUUAUCAGCUAACUGUUUAGUUUUGAGCUUUUCUUUAAUGCACUUUUCAGUUAACAAGUCAACAUCAAUUUCUUUUGCUGUAAAAAAGCUUGAGGAAGGUGGCUUGAGAUUCGUCUUAAGUGUUUAUAGCCUCUUGCCUAUGCAGUCGGAGAGAUUGAGGUCUGCAGCGUAGAUCCUUCGGGGCUAAAUGCAUUUGUGCUAAGUUAUAGCAUUUUAUAGACAACUUGUUGACUAUGAUUUGUCUUGUAGCUUACUCGCUUAUGUUAUUUUACCUACGCUUAGGAUGUUGACGCAUGAGAUAUACGC
rnacentral:rRNA from 1 species